UACCAGCACUCCGAGUGGUCGGCACGAUUAUUGGGCCUAAAGCAUCCGUAGCCGGUUUUACAAGUCCUCCGUUAAAUCCAGCUGCUUAACAGAUGGGCUGCGGAGGAUACUAUAAGACUAGGAGGCAGGAGAGGCAAGCGGUACUCAGUGGGUAGGGGUAAAAUCCGUUGAUCCAUUGAAGACCACCAGUGGCGAAGGCGGCUUGCCAGAAUGCGCUCGACGGUGAGGGAUGAAAGCUGGGGGAGCAAACCGG
rnacentral:rRNA from 1 species